UUUGUUUUCCUAUGUACUGGCGCCAUACAUCUCUACCUUUUGGUAGUCAUAAUUUGUUUCAGAUGACUGUUUCUACCCAAGCAACAAUAGACACAAAGAGCUGGAGAUCACAAAAAAGAAAUAAGAUAAGGUGUUUUAUUAUGCCUUUAUUCAAACAGGAAAAUAUAAUUUCUUCAGUUAUUUUAGUCAAACUGAUCUGACAUCUUCAUGCAAAUACACUUCUAUCCUGCUUUGCGAUUGGUUAUUGUCAUUUUCAUAGUGCUAAGCAGCUGCUUGGUGAGCUUUUGAUUGCUGAAUGUUAGGAAUAUUUUGCUGCAACAGUCUUAACAUGGCUGGACUUAACAUUUAUGCAUCACUUUCAACAUGACAAAAGUCAUAACUGCAGCAGCAGUUAAAGGACAGACACACUGAGCAGUGGGUCUCCAUCUGACAUAUGAUCUGCUGGAAUAAUGUGACAGAUUGUGCUAUCAAAUAAAUAACAGUACUGUCAAAAAAUUCUUAUGCCAUGUUUUCCCUCAGCAUGUUUUAAGCAUAGCAAAGUUUAUUUAUAGUUUGAUUCAUUUAAUCAUUCAUUCAUUCAGCCCCCCAUCAUUCAUUUAUACGUGGUGGCUGGAGUUCAGGAGAAAAGCAAAAAAGAUAAAAGAAAAUAGUGCUCUGGGUUGUUCCACAUUAUCUCUUCUCAAACAAGUAGCUAAAAGAUUUAAUGCUUUUUUCUCAAGUUAAUCACAACUUCACUAAUUUUUCUAAGAGUUAUUUUUAACAGUGACUGAGAAAUCAUAAAACAAUAUUUUCAGCUGAGUGCACCAUUGUUUUAAUAUGAAUAGUUAGAGUUAUAAUGUUGGCUGUCUCCAUCAGUCUCUGGUCUCAAUUAAUUUACCGCAUUAAUUAAUUUAUGCCAUUAAUGCUAAAUAUUUAUUGUCCAAAAGAGGAUUUAUAACUUCUGUACCCUUAUCAUCAAUGUU